CUUUUUUAAAUUUGUAUGGGGCGGCAAGAAAGCAAGAGUUAAAAUAAAAGUUUUGGCUACAUCAAGGCAGGAUGGAGGUUUGGGGUGCUUGGAAAUUUUACAAUGCUAUCAAGCUAGCAGACUUUUCCAUAUAUUGCUUUCACAAAAUAUUGCUGCAAUCCAAGAAACAUGGUAUAAAAUGGAAAAAGCUAAAACCAGGGUAGGAAAUUUAACGUAAACAAAAAAUCCAUCAAAG